rnacentral:lncRNA from 1 species
AUUUGGAUUUUGUCUUGUUUCAGCAGCUUACCAACACACAGGCUCUCUGCACCUCAGUUUUCUCAUCUGAAAAAACAAGCUGUUUCAUAGGGUUGUAGGAAAAAAAUAAGUGAGGUACUGAAUGUGAAAGCACUUUGAAAUCCUCAAGGCAUUGUAGAAAUGUCGGUGAUGAUGGUUACCUUCUUCAGCCUUCUGUGGUUCUCUCUUAAUGGAUGACAAAUGGAGGACAGCAGCCUUCUGUUAUACCCAACUUAAUCCUUUAUUUACUGUCUUAGACUAUUAUUCUUUGUUUUGUGAAUGUAUGGGUCCAGGCCUCUCUCACUCACUAGUGGCAGAAACCCAACCCCUAAUGAGGAGGGAUUCUGCCUUUUGGCACAGGCUGAGCCUCCCUGCCCCUGCCAGUUCUUGAACACGUCUGUGAAUCUGGCCUCAGCCAAGGCCGAAGAAAUGUGGACAGCUCAGUACUAUACCUUCCUCUUCGUUCUGGAAAAGAGGGGAGGAAAAAAAAAACCCUUCAAAGACCACGGGAAUCUUCUUUCUUUUAUAAAAUAUGUAGUGAUUAAAAUAACUUGUAGUUGCUCUAGCUACACACAAUCAUUGGCAUUCUCUCUCUGUAUGAAUAAGAACCCACUGACUUGGGAAUUCUUUUGUGCUAAAGCGGGUUAAGGAUGUGGUGUUGUCACUGCAGCAGCUUGGGUAGCUGCAAUGGCGUGGAUUUAAUCCCUGGCCUGGGAACUUUCAUAUGCCGUGGGCAUGGCCAAAAAAAUUUUUUAAAAGAACACACUGAUGUGGCAAAGAACUGAAAUUCAUAAGAGAAGCUAGGGUUAGGAAUUUUAAAGUCCCUAAGUUUCCUUAGGGGAAUUUUGUUAAUUGAUGGAAAUUUUAAAAAGUUUUUUUUAGUCUUGUUUUCACUUCCCCAGUUUUUUCUAUUAGCAAAUAUAUAUAUCAUUGGGACUUUCUAGCUAAUAAGUCUAUGCACCACUGUUGAACCAUUCAAGCAUUUUGAUAUAUUGACACUACUUCGAGAAGAAUAUAAUAUUUUGCUUUUCUGAAUUAUGAAUCUUCGUAUUUAGUAUAACAGCAUGUUACUUAAAGAUCAGAUUUUGGUGGUAGUAACUACUACUGAAUCAAGGCACUUUGCUCCAGAGACUGGACAAUAUGCAUAUUCGUAUAGCUGAGGGUACCACAAGUACCUUCAGCUGGUUGCCACUUUCUUUCCUUUCUCCAAGUGGCAUGUUACUGUGUUUUGAGAAAACCACAUCAAUAUUUCUUGCCAGUUGCUCAAACUCACCCUUGCAAUGCUGCAUCAUGCAGAACACUAGGCAGACCAGCACUUUCUACUUGAUGCUGUAAAUGUUUAUUGAAGCCUUUGAUAAGGUCAGCAUGUACAUGGCAGCUUGACUUACAGAAAUCUAGCUGUCCAAGGAGUUUCCCCUGCUGCGGUUUUUGUCUGGUCAGCACUCUUUCUUCCUGCUUUGGGGAAGCUUCUCCUCCCCCACUGGUGGCUGUGAAUUAUGGUAAAUUAUUCCUUUGGCCACAGAGGUGGGCAUAUGGCCAGGCAAGGUCAAACUGAAUCCUUCCUUGUGAAUUUUUUAAUGAUGGUGAUGAUGCUGAAAGGACGUCUCUCUGAUGUGAGGUCUAUGUGAGCUUCAGGCUGGUUUGACCAGCGCUCUAGUUCAUUUUCCUGUAUUAUUUUGUUACUGCCCUCCUCUAUAUGUUUACUUUGUUCCCAAUCUGGCUUUCGUCAUGGUAGCAAGGAGGACUGCCAUGUUGCACAAUUCCAAGGGCCAUUAUUCACUUCUUACAGUAGUUUAUUCAUCUCUGGGGUCUUUGACCCCCAAGAAUCUACAAACAUAUUCGUGAGGGCCUGUGUGUUCUCUAGGCAAAUCUUCAAAUUAAUUCGAGUAUUCUUGAACUGGUUUAACUUGCUGCAAGAAGAGUUCCUGUUGUGGCACAGCAGAAACUUAUCCGACUAGUAACCACAAGGUUGCAGCUUCUGGCCUCGCUCUGUGGGUUAAGGAUCUGGCAUUGCUCUGAGCUGUGGUGUAGAUCGCAGAUGUGGCUCAGAUCCUGCAUUGCUGUGGCUGUGGUGUAGGUCGGCAGGUGCAGCUCCAAUUCAACCCCUAGCAUGGGAACCUCCAUAUGCCACAGGUGCAGCCCUAAAAAGCAAAAAAUAAAAAUAAAUUGCUAAGUGAGAGACAUGUCACCUUUCUUAGUCGCUCAUGUGAAAUUAAAUUUGAUCCCUACUUGUCCAGGGCUGGCAAAACUGGUACCAAUCAUUAUUAGGAAUUUUCCUCCCCUUAAUUGUAUCCUAUAAGAAUCCAAGUGCUUACAUGGCCCUGAAACACUAGGGGCAAAUCAGCCUCUGGUCAUCAGUCUGCUGAUGCUUCUGUCCAACCACCCUUGGGUUCUUGUCCUCUGCCAUCUGUUGAGCACAGCUGUCCCGGUGGGCUACAAAGAUGUCCUUCAUGGUGAUUAUUUUCACUGACUGAUGACUCAGCCAUCGAAUAAGUUCUCUCUGUAUUAUCUAAUAGUUUGUAUACUUCUUUGUCUUCUCCCUUAAAACUUGUGAUCUUUGAGGACAGGGACACUGCUGAUGUUUCACUGUGUCCCUAGCAUGCCUACCAUGAUGUCUUACACAUGGUAGGUACUCAAGUUGUUGAAUAAAUAAACGAACAUCUGACUAUCACGCCAGUAGCCUAGGUAUUUUUAAACCUCUGGGACACCUUCAGUUUUUUAUUUGCUAUUAGAGCUAGGUAUUUUUAGCCUCCCCAAUACCUUUCUGGUUGUACUCUAUCUUGUAUUUCAAUGUUAUUCAUUCUCUAAGCAUAUUAUUUAUUGUUGUGUUUUAAAAAAAUCAGUGUGAUUAUAUAUUAUUGCUCUAGCUUGUCAAGAUUGUAUUGAAUGAUAACUCCCCAAAAAUACCAGUUUCUCUUAUCAACUGCAUGUCAUCCAAAAAACAUGCUAUUUGUUUAGUGAUAAUCCAGUAGGAUAAUUCUAUAAUUAUCUUCAUCAGAGAAGGAUACACUGUACUCUUUCUACCCACUGAUAUUUCCUACAUGAUCACUGGUUGAAUAAUGUCCACUCAAACAAAUAUUCAUUAAGCUCACAUUUUGAAACCAGCUCAGCAAAGCCACCUGGAUACAAAGGUAUCUAUCAUGUGGUCCCUGCCUUCAGUUUGCUCCCCAGGUAAUUGAGGGGAAAGCCCACAAGUGAAAAGUCCAGUGAUAAAUAGAAGGCAGCUAUCUGACUGACACACAGUUCAUUGAUUUUGAUGGGUCAAGCGUUCAUUCUGAUUGGUUGGCUUUUAAUUCGGAUUGAUCAGGCAUCCGAUCUGAUUGGUCAAGUGCUCAUACCACACUGAUUGUUAAAUAUUUUGCACAACACCACUAGCUGUAAAAGUUAAAUGAAAAUGACAUGAUAGGAGUUCCCAUCGUGGCGCAGUGGUUAAUGAAUUCGACUAGGAACCAUGAGGUUGCGGGUUCGGUCCCUGCCCUUGCUCAGUGGGUUAACGAUCCAGCGUUGCCGUGAGCUGUGGUGUAGGUUGCAGACGCGGCUCGGAUCCCGUGUUGCUGUGGCUCUGGUGUAGGCCGGUGGCUACAGCUCCGAUUCAACCCCUAGCCUGGGAACCUCCAUAUACCUCGGGAGCGGCCCAAGAAAUAGCAACAACAACAACAACAACAAAAGACAAAAAGACAAAAGACAAAAAAAAAAAAAAAAAAAAAAAAAGAAAAUGACAUGAUAAUACCAAAAAAUGGCUACAUGGAAUUUACUGGGUAGAUUGGAAUCCAGUCUAAUACCUCUUGUAUUAUUUCUUUAUCUAAUAAUAAUUUUUUGACAAUAAAAUGUUAGU